rnacentral:rRNA from 1 species
AGUGAACGCUGGCGGUAGGCCUAACACAUGCAAGUCGAACGGCAGCACAGUAAGAGCUUGCUCUUACGGGUGGCGAGUGGCGGACGGGUGAGGAAUACAUCGGAAUCUACUUUUUCGUGGGGGAUAACGUAGGGAAACUUACGCUAAUACCGCAUACGACCUACGGGUGAAAGCAGGGGAUCUUCGGACCUUGCGCGAUUGAAUGAGCCGAUGUCGGAUUAGCUAGUUGGCGGGGUAAAGGCCAACCAAGGCGACGAUCCGUAGCUGGUCUGAGAGGAUGAUCAGCCACACGGGAAGUGAGAAACGGUCCAGACUCCUACGGGGGGCAGCAGUGGGGAAUAUUGGACAAUGGGCGCAAGCCUGAUCCAGCCAUACCGCGUGGGUGAAGAAGGCCUUCGGGUUGUAAAGCCCUUUUGUUGGGAAAGAAAAGCAGCAGGUUAAUACCCCGCUGUUCUGACGGUACCCAAAGAAUAAGCACCGGCUAACUUCGUG